rnacentral:misc_RNA from 1 species
ACAAACUUGGUCAUUUAGAGGAAGUAAAAGUCGUAACAAGGUUUCCGUAGGUGAACCUGCGGAAGGAUCAUUAAUGAAUUUUAAGAUCGAGGUUGUAGCUGGCCUUUCGGGGCAUGUGCACGCCUCUUUCGAAAAAUCCAAAUCACACCUGUGCACCUUUGCGUGAGUUGAGAAAUGUCUCGUCCGAGAGGACUGGUCAAAGUAUCGGCUCGCGUCUUUUAUCAACCCCUUUGUAUGUUUAAGAAUGUCUUUGAUGUAUUAAAACACAUCUCAAUACAACUUUCAACAACGGAUCUCUUGGCUCUCGCAUCGAUGAAGAACGCAGC